rnacentral:lncRNA from 1 species
CUUGUUGUAUUACAAUAUAGAAAGCCUAUUUAUAGGGUUACAAAUAACUGCAAAAGGAAAUAAACCUAAAAGAAAAUAACUUAAAAUGAAAGAUUAUGUAAUAAUUACACAACCAACUAAUAAGGAAAAUAAUCAUACAUAAUUGGAAAAAUAUAAUAAAAGAUUAUUCUAGACAAUAUUUCCAUAUUCCAUAUCUUUA